CAGCUAUAUCACAUUGAAACACCAGUUCUCAUACAAUCACUGAAGUUAAGCAGUGUCAAGCCUGGUCAAUACCUAGAUGAGUGACUGCUUGGGAAUACCAUGUGCUGUAAG
rnacentral:rRNA from 1 species